UGCUUUUUUCGCUCAGGUGGAGCUCGACCGCAAACUCAAAUCCUGAGAUCGUUCAUCGACCAGUACCGCGACGCCCAUGGGGUCGAGCCGAUCUGCAAGGUUUUGCAGGUCGCCCCA
rfam:Nitrosomonas eutropha C91, complete genome.